AUCUUCCGAGCUCUCAGGAGUCCUGGGCUCGCCUCGGAGCCUUUUUCUGUCUGCGGGCAGUCCGGGAUCUCAGUGACCUGUAUGCCGCCCGGGAUCUCAGUGACCUGUAUGCCCCAGGGGACGUGGGGAGCAACCCCUUAGCGAGUUUCGGAGCUGUGGAGGGGUCCGCCCACCUGACUGGCAGAUGGGACCGUUAGGGUGCAGAAAUCCCAGAGAAGACGCAAGACGGGUGCGGAUAGCCCCCAGCAGGUCCUCACGCCUCAGACCCGAUCGGCAGCGGAGGCGGCGGCGGCAGUAGCUGAAGGAGCAACAGCACAGAGUUGUUAAACAGGCAGACCCCCAUCAUAAGGUGAAUUUGACCAGGAAGGGACAAUAUCACUUAGUCCUGCACCCUGAUUUUCCAGAUGGGAAAACUGGGUUCCAGAGAAGUGAUGUGAUUCUCCAUGUCAAGAAACCUUUGAUAAACCUGUCUGGAUUCCAGAGAAAAAUGUUCGAGCCUGUUCCACUGCUCACUGCCCAGAUGAAGGAAUUGAACCUGCAGCAAAAACGGAAGCGAACUAUGAAGAGAAAGAAAAGACUUGCAAUGAUUCCCUUGCUCUCUACCCAACCGUUAUAUGGACAUUGUGACCAGCAUUGGACUUAUUUUCCUUUAAAGCUUGUAUAAAACCCCUCAAGCAUUUAUGAUAGCUUCCUCCUUCUCCAAUAGUUUAGAACCUGGAUUUGUGAACUUGACACAAUCCAGUACUUUAGAAUGGAAUGUAACCUGUCUUAAUUGUAUUAUCAAGCAAUGUAUUGAUCAAAAUGACAAAAUUGUUCUAUUGGUUGAGCAACCAUCCUUUGCUGUUUUUUCCCACUAACCUUUCUCAUGAAUGGUUCCAAUCUUCUAGGGAACAUGUCCUUCAACUCAUCUCAUCAUCACUACACAGGUCAAAAAAGAUUUGUUGGGCUUCUCAUUACUGGAUUAAUUUCUGUCGCUUCCUUAAUUAUUAUAUCCACCCUGUCUUUUAUUGCAUUGCAGUCAGAGAUACAAGAUGCAUGAUUUGUAAAUGAGCUUGCAAAAAAUAUUAGCUUAGCCUUAUGAGCUCAAGAAGCUAUUGAUAGGGAUUUAUCAUAUAAAGUUAAUCUGUUAGAGCAAUCUGUGCUAUAUAUUGGAGAAGAACUUGCAGAAUCAGUAUUUAGAGCGAAAUUGAAAUGUGAUUAUCAUUUUACUAUGAUAUGUGUUACUCCUAUAGCUUAUAACUCUAGUAUAGUACAUUGGGAUAGUAUAAAGAAUCAUUAGAUUCUUAUCUAAUAAUAAUAUCUUAUCUUUUGGCAAAAUAGCAGUUAUGCAGCUGAUUUAUCUUUUCUUAUAAAUGUAACCCAGGCUAUUUCCGACAGUCUAUUCCCAGGGAUUCAUCCUCAGAAUUUAGCACAAGAAAUCUUAGAAAAAUUGGCCUUGUUAAAUAUUUCCAAAAAUAUCACUGAUUUAUUACUUCACCUUU